UACGUAGGGUCCGAGCGUUGUCCGGAAUUACUGGGCGUAAAGAGCUCGUAGGUGGUUUGUCGCGUUGUUCGUGAAAACUCACAGCUCAACUGUGGGCGUGCGGGCGAUACGGGCAGACUAGAGUACUGCAGGGGAGACUGGAAUUCCUGGUGUAGCGGUGAAAUGCGCAGAUAUCAGGAGGAACACCGGUGGCGAAGGCGGGUCUCUGGGCAACAACUGACGCUGAGGAGCGAAAGCGUGGGGAGCGAACAGG
rnacentral:rRNA from 1 species